rnacentral:rRNA from 1 species
UAGGGAAUCUUCGGCAAUGGACGAAAGUCUGACCGAGCAACGCCGCGUGAGUGAAGAAGGUUUUCGGAUCGUAAAACUCUGUUGUUAGAGAAGAACAAGGACGUUAGUAACUGAACGUCCCCUGACGGUAUCUAACCAGAAAGCCACGGCUAACUACGUGCCAGCAGCCGCGGUAAUACGUAGGUGGCAAGCGUUGUCCGGAUUUAUUGGGCGUAAAGCGAGCGCAGGCGGUUUCUUAAGUCUGAUGUGAAAGCCCCCGGCUCAACCGGGGAGGGGCAUUGGAAACUGGGAGACUUGAGUGCAGAAGAGGAGAGUGGAAUUCCAUGUGUAGCGGUGAAAUGCGUAGAUAUAUGGAGGAACACCGGUGGCGAAGGCGGCUCUCUGGUCUGUAACUGACGCUGAGGCUCGAAAGCGUGGGGAGCAAACAGG